AACUCAAAGCCCUAGAAUGCGCACACAUCGCCCGUCACUCUCGUCACUAGAGGAGAAAAGUCGUAACAAAGUAGGCGUAUUGGAAAAUGUGCCUGGAAUAAAA
rnacentral:rRNA from 1 species